rnacentral:misc_RNA from 1 species
UUCAUUGCCGCGUCAAGCGCCGCCAAAACGCAGUCCUGGCGGCGGUGGCGCCCUGAAAGGGACUUUUCCGAUCCCCCUCGGCUCUCUCGCGGCAGCGCAUCGCCCUUUUUCUCUUUCUCUCCUCCAGGUUCUCUCAAAGUUGCCGGAACCUCCUCUCCACCAAACCAACUCCCCUUCCUUCGUCCUCCCCGCCCUCUGGCGACGCGGGGCUACGCUGGUCCACCCCGGAUUCUGCGUGAAACGGGGAGGCGAUGGUGGCGCCGCUGCGAGCUCUGACGACGCGCAAGAUGGCUGCGCUGCCAAGGUGACACCUCCAGCACCUGCUGUUAACUCAUGCGAGUGGAUGAUUGGGCCGCGGAGUCGCAGUUAUCGGGAGGCUGUGGUGCUGUUGCAAGCGCUGAAUUGUUCCAUCGCACUGGCUCAGAAGCAAGUGUCAUGUCGUGCUGCUGUACUUGAAGCCACAGCGUAUUGCCAAGGCAUGUUAUGGGGCGUCUUCCUGUCCUUGUCUCUUCCGUGCCUAUGGCUAUAGGGACCAUCGGCGAGGCUGGAGCUUACCAGAAUAACCAAGACGUUGGGACGUUCCGUUUGAACGUCGCGGAUAUCUCGCGUGCCGUUCCUGCAGCUGAAGAUACCUUUGGCCGUGUACGACGUGGUGGAAGCAGCAAGAAGAGGAGGCUACCGAGAGAGGAUCCGGGCUCGAGCUCGCACACCAGCUAGCUACGCGGAGCGGUGGACGGCCGUCGCUGGCCUGGCUGAUCAAGUGGACAGAGAACACGUCGGGGAGGACAAAAAAAAAAAAAAAUAGCGCCUGGGUGGGGGAGGGCUCCGCGGGCCCAAUUAGAGAAGACAAACUGCCGCGGCGGACUCGGACAAGAAAGCAGCCUGAGGGACUCUUGUGCUCGCCUCCGCUCAUCCGCCCUGAGUGACAAAGGGCGUUGACUGUGCCCGGCUAGGCGCGGAGGCGCGCUGCUACUGAUUGGACUGCUUCGCAGGCAGACACCGUGCUCUCUUUCCCUCUUUCUCCCUACGACACCCCUCGUAUCCAGCGCUAUUCAAUACGCUUCUUCUGCACCCUUAAUCAAAUCGAAUCAAAGUCACGAAACCGGGAGCCAGGGGGUGGUAUAGCACAGGAGGAUGAGUGAGGUUGGGACGGAUCGAGAAAUUAGGGGGGUGGGAGUGGGGAGGCCGAAGGGCGGAGGGUAUGUUCCUUGGUGCAGGACAGCAGCUACAAGCGACUCCAAGGAGACGGCCUCUCAUCAGGCAGCGGGGGAACAGCGCAAGUUGAGCUCUAGUGUUCUACAUCUACCCUGUAGAUCCGAAUUUGUUUGCCACUAGACUACAAAUUCGGUUCUAGAGAGGUUUGUGUGGUACAUACGAAACGUCACACUGCGUAGAAGAACCCUCCCGACGAUGCAUCGACCAUGGGCGCUUGUGUUGUGCACGUGUGCUUUGAAGAGUGUGGAUGGAUGUCAUGCGGAUGUAUACGAUAGGAGUUUUAUAACCGUACGGGUUGCCCGCCAUGUCCCCGUCUCCUGGGGAAGACUGUUUAAUGAAUGUGAGAGUUACGGCGGUGAUGGUCUUCAAAAAAAAAAAACAUUUUAAUACAUGCAUGUUCUUUACCUUGCUUACUUGCUUUCAUCGUUCACCUUGUGGGACGAGCGUUAAAAAAUAAA